AAUAUACACAUAUACUGGGGUUCCUGGUCUUCCAUUUCUCUUUUUAAGACAAUGAACAAGAACUUGGAAUUCUCUGGUAACAUAAUUUCUCUGUAUCCACAGGUGUACUGCAGUGAAUCACUACCCUUGCAUCAUCAUUCAGACAACAAAGAACACUGGAUAUGACUUAAAAUGUUCCUGUAUAUCUGUUGUGAAUGUGAAAAGAAUUACUUAUAUGAGUUUUUUGUCUCUCUUUUUCAGUCUGAGGAGACAGAUUGCUUCAGUUCACCUUUAGCCUGAUACAGAUGCCCACCUAGAACAACAAGAAUCUUAUGUUCACUUGUCUUCUCUUGAUAAUGUCUGCAGACCACUGCUCUGCUAGGUCAUGGAUGACAACAUGUGUUUCCACAUCUUUUGGGAGAAAGGAGGGAAAGAGCUCUGAAUGCAGAUUGCUGCAUAUGCAAUUUUAUAUAUGCAGGUCAUGACCCUGGCCAAGUAAAAAUUGAAAUGGGAGGAUCUGGAUGUCUGAAGAAGAAAUAUUCGGCCUCUCUAACUGAAGUUAUUGUCUUUAAGAUUGCUCAGAACCACCCAGAAAAGAAACAGUGUACCCACUUGUAUGAAGUGAACAGUUGCCAGACCCUGCUGAUGAAAACAGAGUGAAAUCCAGUAAAUUUUCCAUUUGUAUUGUAUCUCUUCCUUCUGGAAAAAUGUAUUGAGAAAUU
rnacentral:lncRNA from 1 species